rnacentral:rRNA from 1 species
CGUGUAGGCGGGUUGUUAAGUCCGCUGUGAAAGCCCGGUGCUCAACGCCGGAGGGUCGGUGGAUACUGGCAGUCUUGAAGUGGCUAGGGGGAAAUGGAAUUACCGGUGUAGCGGUGAAAUGCGUAGAUAUCGGUAGGAACACCAGUGGCGAAGGCGGUUUCCUGGAGCUAACUUGACGCUGAGACGCGAAAGCUGGGGGAGCAAACGGGAUUAGAUACCCCGGUAGUCCCAGCCCUAAACGAUGGAUACUAGGUGUCAGGGGUAUCGACCCCUCUGGUGCCGCAGCUAACGCAGUAAGUAUCCCGCCUGGGGAGUACGGCCGCAAGGUUGAA